rnacentral:rRNA from 1 species
AACGAACGCUGGCGGCAUGCCUAACACAUGCAAGUCGAACGAGACCUUCGGUUCUAGUGGCUCACGGGUGCGUAACGCUUGGGAACCUGCCUUUAGGUUCGGAAUAACUCAGAGAAAUUUGAGCUAAUACCGGAUUAUGUCUUCGGACCAAAGAUUUAUCGCCUUUAGAUGUGCCCGCGUUGGAUUAGCUAGUUGGUGGGGUAAAGGCCUACCAAGGCGACGAUCCAUAGCUGGUCUGAGAGGAUGAUCGGCCACACUGGGACUGAGACACGGCCCAGACUCCUACGGGAGGCAGCAGUGGGGAAUAUUGGACAAUGGGCGAAAGCCUGAUCCAGCAAUGCCGCGUGAGUGAUGAAGGCCUUAGGGUUGUAAAGCUCUUUUACAAGAGAUGAUAAUGACAGUAUCGGGAGAAUAAGCUGCGGCUAACUACGUG